AUGGGACAGAAACAGGACAAGGAGCUAGGAAAAGAAGACUUCCUGACCGGUGCCGUUAGUGACUAUGAGAUCUUAAACCAAAGCGAGGAGGAAGCACAUUCCAACAGCCCUGAAGAAAUAGACCAGAAUUUUGUUCACUUGGACACCUCCAUACUAGAGCCCUGUCCCGAUCAGGAACCAACAAGACCUAAUGACAACACCACUGAGCCCUCUUUCAACCAGGGAGAAAAAAAGAUCAGACAUAGUUAUGACACGGAUGUUUUGCAGAAUGGCAGGACACCAAAUCCUCAGCUGAGCCUGGCAGGAGGUCCAUGUGCCUCAGAAUUCAAAACAGUCACAAGCGACGGAUCGGCCACAGACAUAUUUACUGCUGUGGACCAGCAACGACCUGACAAAACAGACAGAAUGACUAACAAAACUCACCUCAAGGAUACUCCAAACAUGUUAGAAGGUUCGUGUCAAGUGGACUCAGCAGAUGAUGGCGUGAGCAUUGAGAAGAAUGAGACACAGGCGCUCUCUGACAGACACAACGGGAGGACAAAAAUGAGUGGUGAUGUCGAAAUAAAGAGGAAAUUUUCUUUGGAAGCAGAGAAUGUUGAUUUACUUGAAAGACAGCCAUUCCAGGACAAAGAUAAACAUGAAAUUCAAUCCCCAAGUAGUGACAAAAUUAGGAGAGGUUGUGACAAAGUUUGCAAAGAAAGUGCUGGAACUGUUCGACACAAAGUAAGUCCUGAUGAGGACAGAUUUGAGGAUUUGGACAGAGCCGAUUCUUUAUGGACUACUCGUCCAUCAUUCACUGGGCUCCACUCGAAUUCAAGUCGUCCAUGGCUUCAGAGUGCCAAUAAGCGGGAUAGCUUACAGGGAGACAAAAAUAUCAGUAGAGGUUUGUCAAGAAGAAGUGUUUUACAAGAACCCAAUGAAGCCUCACAGACACCCAAAACAACAAACCUCAGAAACAACCAAAGAAACCCAACUUUCCAUACACCAUUGCUGGGAAAAGAAGAGACAGAAUGGAGUGAAACUGAAGGUAAGGAUAAAAUAUUGCAUACUCCCUUUGAUAAACCUUGUUUAUUAAGAUCUAGAGUGACAGCAUUUGACUCUUUCGACUGUGACACUGUUACUAAACCAACAAAUCCAGACACAGCUCUAGUCCCGUUGAGGAUUGAGGAGGACUUUGAACAAAAAGUAUUAAGCACAUUUCAUCCAGAUUUAAGCCAAAGCAGUACUUUGUUUCACAGUGAGAAGCAAAAUGAUGACAAAGGGGCAUUCACUGUCAUGGAAAAACACUCAACAGUCAUGUCAUCUGAGAGUUUAACUGAAUCCAGUGCUAAAAACGUCCCUGUUAGCAAUGCGCCUCACCCAGCCAAAAAGGGAGUGUGGGGAGCAGAAGCACCAUGUGUGAAAAGAGACACUGAAUCUGUUUAUCAAAAAGCUGUUCGGUUGAGAUCCACAGAAAGAAGGAAAGACUUUGAUGGUCAUCUUAAUGGAAGGCACAAUACUUCUUUACUUGAAUUAGCAGAGAGAAAUGGUAAAAUUCAGGGCAAAAGAGUCUGUAAUCCAAAGAUCUACAAGCUGGAUGACAUGAACACAGAAACAGAGGCCAAAGAGAAUUCUUCCAGCACUAAGUGUUCAGAUCAAAUGAUCCUAAAUCAUUACCAUUCUUUUUCUCACUCAGAUUUUGAUGCAGGUGGCGCCGAAAGAGUUGCACAGACAGCUUCUUUGCAACAGGAAAAAGAGCCUCUCUAUUUCACAGCUGUGAUCACGCCACCACUUCAGAUUCAUACAUUUCCUGAUCAGGAGGAGAGGAAGUCAUCUGACGUCUCUCAUUUGUAUGUUCCUCGCGCUGAAAAACAGAGCAUGAUUACUGACAUCCUACCCACAGAUGCUCAGACAGAGAAAAAGGCCAAAAUCAAAGGAGCACCACCACCUGUUCCAAAGAAACCAAAGAAUCCCUUUAAAAAAGCCAUUGGCCGCAAGGAAUCUGCUUCUCAUUCCACAGAGGAGCCAAGCAAAUAUUCGGACCUACUGCUCAGAAAUAUUAAAAUGAGCAGAAGGCAGGCAGCACUGCAGUCCGUUGAGGAUUUUAAUACGCAUGCAUCAUGUCUUGAUAUGUCAACUUAUUAUAUCGAUUCCCCAUUCUACAUGCGCAUGUCCUUAGAGCCUGAGGCUGCUGAUAUUCCAAGAUAUUAUUUAGUCCCGUAUGAUGAAACUGUUGCACCUGACUGCGAUAACUUGAUAGAAACUGUCAAUGAUAAAGAACUAAAAGAAAUGGAUAUGUCUCAGCUGAGACCAUUGUUAAAAAAAAGAGCAAAAAUGAAGGGCCCACCACCACCUGUGCCGAAGAAGCCUCAAAAUCCAUUUGCUGAAACAGACACUGAGAAGAACCAAGCAAGCAAAGACUCUGAUCUGGAAAAUGUGGAACAGCCUUUGAAAUAUGGUAGUAGACGUGACUCGGAAUGCUACAUGAUGGACAUGGAGGAUGAAGAAGACUCUAAACCCACUGCAGUCCCAACUAGAUAUCCUUACGCCGCCUGUCGAAUUCCAAGCAGUGAUUCUUCUGCUUCAGAGGAAAACGAAAUGUCCAGAUACAGGCCCGUCUCUGAACUCAUCAGAGACAGCAACAAAAUCCAGAAGAAAGUGAUACAUCACAUCAGGACAAACAUAAUGAAAGCCGGGCCAGAUGUGACUGUGGGAAGCCAGAGUCUAAAAGUAUCGCAGAUGAAGACAGCCUUUGAUGUACAAACAUCUUCCCAUAAAAUGGAAAGAAGAUCCUCGCCAAAGAAAGGUAAGACAGGUUUUCAAGCUCAUUGCGUACCUAGUUUUCAUAAAGUAUACAAUUAA
ensembl:lncRNA